rnacentral:lncRNA from 1 species
UGCUCACGUAAGAUGGCAAGCAAAUUGCAAACUCAUAUUCUAGUUCAAAAUAGUAAAAACCAGCACUAAUCUAUAACAGACAAAAAUUAAUCGCCUUUACUGUUCUAAUCUGUCUUUUGAGAAGGAUCAAACUGUGAGCACAGGCCAUGAUUACGGGAUCCAUAUAGAGGAAGCUUUGGAAUUGAUAUCUUUAGGAAAUCCUUUUCGAAGGAAAAGAUAUUGAUGUAACUAUGCGUAUUUUAUCUGUUCUCAGGAGCGAACUACCGGAUAUGAUGAUUAAACAGAUUUAUGAAAUACACUACGACAAAUAGAAGAGGUUAUGUAUAAAGGUGUAAGGUACCGGACUUCUAAAAUUAUGAAGCUACGGUGUCCAUUUGGUUGGAGAGCCAUUUGAAUGGUUCCGGUAAGGUUGCGGUGUAAUGUAAUAUACCGAAUUUAAAUAUAAAAAAAAAUAGAAAUAAAUAAAAAAUAGUAUGAGAUACUAUUUUUAUUGAAUUUAGAGAAGUGAAAUAUAAAUUGGGAAUGACCUGUGNGCUGUCCGUUCGGCGUCUGUUCGACGCGCCCGGAUCGUACCAAAUUGGUAGCGGUCCCGGGGUGUGACAAAAGGACAAGCCCUUAAUUAGUAGUUCAAAGAGGCAGCAAUCACUAACUUGAUGGUUUUGACUGUCCUCACGGCAGUUGCUUUUUCUUUGCAAUGCCCAAGCAUAAUUAACCUUUCAACUAGUUCUUCA